ACGGGUGAGUAACGCGUGGGAAUCUACCGUACCCUACGGAAUAGCUCCGGGAAACUGGAAGUAAUACCGUAUACGCCCUUUUGGGGAAAGAUUUAUCGGGGUAUGAUGAGCCCGCGUUGGAUUAGCUAGUUGGUGGGGUAAAGGCCUACCAAGGCGACGAUCCAUAGCUGGUCUGAGAGGAUGAUCAGCCACAUUGGGACUGAGACACGGCCCAAACUCCUACGGGAGGCAGCAGUGGGGAAUAUUGGACAAUGGGCGCAAGCCUGAUCCAGCCAUGCCGCGUGAGUGAUGAAGGUCUUAGGAUUGUAAAGCUCUUUCACCGAUGAAGAUAAUGACGGUAGUCGGAGAAGAAGCCCCGGCAAACUUCGUGCCAGCAGCCGCGGUAACACGAAGGGGGCUAGCGUUGUUCGGAAUUACUGGGCGUAAAGCGCACGUAGGCGGAUAAUUAAGUCAGGGGUGAAAUCCCGCAGCUCAACUGCGGAACUGCCUUUGAUACUGGUUAUCUUGAGUAUGGAAGAGGUAAGUGGAAUUGCGAGUGUAGAGGUGAAAUUCGUAGA
rnacentral:rRNA from 1 species